AUUGAACGCUGGCGGCAGGCUUAACACAUGCAAGUCGAGCGGGGGAAGGUAGCUUGCUACCGGACCUAGCGGCGGACGGGUGAGUAAUGCUUAGGAAUCUGCCUAUUUGUGGGGGACAACAUCUCGAAAGGGAUGCUAAUACCGCAUACGUCCUACGGGAGAAAGCAGGGGAUCUUCGGACCUUGCGCUGAUAGAUGAGCCUAAGUCGGAUUAGCUAGUUGGUGGGGUAAAGGCCUACCAAGGCGACGAUCUGUAGCGGGUCUGAGAGGAUGAUCCGCCACACUGGGACUGAGACACGGCCCAGACUCCUACGGGAGGCAGCAGUGGGGAAUAUUGGACAAUGGGGGGAACCCUGAUCCAGCCAUGCCGCGUGUGUGAAGAAGGCCUUAUGGUUGUAAAGCACUUUAAGCGAGGAGGAGGCUACUCUAGUUAAUACCUAGGGAUAGUGGACGUUACUCGCAGAAUAAGCACCGGCUAACUCUGUGCCAGCCGCCGCAGUAA
rnacentral:rRNA from 1 species